AUGACGUCAAGUCCUCAUGGCCCUUAUAGGUGGGGCUACACACGUCAUACAAUGGCUGGUACAAAGGGUUGCCAACCGCAGGGGAGCCAAUCCCAUAAAGCCAGUCGUAGUCCGGAUCGUAGUCUGCAACUCGACUACGUGAAGUCGGAAUCGCUAGUAAUCGUGGAUCAGAAUGUCACGGUGAAUACGUUCCCGGGUCUU
rnacentral:rRNA from 1 species